GACGAACGCUGGCGGCGUGCUUAACACAUGCAAGUCGAACGAAGUGGCGAACGGGUGAGUAAAGCGUAAUCAACCUGCCCUACAGAGGGGGACAACAGUUGGAAACGACUGCUAAUACCGCAUAAUGAAGGAGGGGAGUGCGUCUGAUUAGCAAGUUGGAGGGGGAACGUCCCACCAAGGCGGUGAUCAGUAGCCGGUCUGAGAGGAGGACCGGCAACAUUGGGACUGAGACCCGGCCCAGACUCCUACGGGAGGCAGCAGUGGGGAAUCUUCCGCAAUGGACGAAAGUCUGACGGAGCAACGCCGCGUGAGUGAUGACGGCCUUCGGGUUGUAAAGCUCUGUUAAUCGGGACGCGGUACCGGAAUAGAAAGCCACGGCUAACUACGUGCCAGCAGCCGCGGUAAUAC
rnacentral:rRNA from 1 species